AGAAGACGUCACGCCAGACAUCAUCAGGAAGUCGACCACUACUUCUCAGUCAUCAGUGACUUUCUCUCGGUGUCUUUAAAAAUGUAUGUCUCCCUGGCUUGACCAGGCAUUGCAGAACCCUGGACCCUCACUGGAGAUGGGAAGCUGUCUGACGAGUUUUCCCUUCCAUGUAGAGGAAGUCAAAAGGUAGACUUUUGGCAACUUUUGCUGAGCAAUAGUACUUACUAGAGUCCGGCUACGCUGUGAUCUUCCGGCACAGACACCGCUCCUUAUAUCCCUUCACUCUGGGAUUAAUCUGCUGGACAAUAGAAGAGUGUGAAGAGUGUGUGUGUGUUGGAAUGUCAGUCCUGAUGCGUUACCAGGCGGUAAAUGAGGCACGGCUUCUUCUGCCUGUGGAGUUCAGCACCCUGUCGGAGUACCUGCACCACCUCAAAGCUGCAGCACAGGCACUCAGACCCAUAGGGUCCAAGGCCAUGUUUUAUUUGGCUGCAGCAGUGUCAGAUUUUUACAUUCCAACAUCAAAAAUGCCCGAGCACAAAAUCCAGUCCUCCAAUGGACCACUUCAGAUCAGUAUGAAGAUGGUCCCCAAGAUGUCGCAUUUGGGAUUUCCUUCAAGCUGGAGAUGGACCCGUCCAUCCUGCUGGACAGAGCUCGGCGGGCACUGGACAACAGGCUGUGGUGGCCAGCGUACUGGACACCAGACGAGGUUAUGUAGUGGUGGUGACCCCUUACACUCAGGCCAAGCUAGUACUUACGGAUGAGGAAGCAAGCAAAGAUGUGGAGAUCAAGGACAGUAUUGUCAGUAACCUGACCAGAGCUCACGGCCAAAUCAUAACCCAACAAGACUGAGACCCCAGAGGUGUUUUCAUUAGUUGCAAUGGAAACUUCACUCCAAACAGAAAACGUUAUGCAACAAAAACAAGUUACAACUGGACAAAUUCAUGGACGUCCCUCCCCGUUUGAUAUGUUUUCUUCCUAGAGUAAGAAAGCUUCUCACAGAAUUUGACUAAUGAAUACACUCCAGUUAACUGUGCUGCUUACUGUGAAGGCUGGCUUUGGUGGUCCGAUGAAACACACUAACGUGUCGUACAAGUCCCUGGGGCAGGGCACUAGCUCUACUUUCUUCUGAAAUCUUAAUUCAUGCUUGUCUAGUUUGGAUCUUUAUUUUAUCUUGCAGGGCAUUCACCGUCCUAGAUCAGACAUUCAUGUGCAUGCAUAUGUAGGUUUCAGUACACACUCUGCCUUUAAAAAUCUAAUAUUUACAUAAUCACAGAAAAACAAUCCUUGAUCACCUUAACUUUAAGUAUCAUACCAUCUUAUGUCACAAGGCAGAUUACAACAUAUUGGUUGUGGAAUGAUAAUGCCAACCAAUGAAUUGACUUAACCUCAUAGCAGUUUGUCAGAGUAAUAUCACAGACAGAGUACAUCAGUAAAGUAACAGACUCGGAACAUUAAACCUUAACUGUAUUUUGGUAUUUUAUGUGCUGGUCAAAUCACAAAUCUACUCCACAGAGGGAACAGUCUUCCUUGAAGGCAUGACACCCCAUACAGCUAGCUAUCAGUGAUUGUGUAAUUUACUUGGUUAUGAGUUUGAUAUGAAGUCCAGCACGAAUACCAGACAGCUCUCCACUGUAUCUUGUCUCCUCACAACAGACUUCACGAACCUGGAAUACAUUCAAGAUUUUAAUGUAGGUUUUUUUUUUAAAUACACUUGGAAUUCAAUUUGAUCCAUAAUUGACACUAGUUAAAUUAUACAAGUUGUCAAUUUUGCUAUCAAAUACUGUAUAUCAUAUCAGCAUACACACUACAAAGCAGGAUCAAGGAGUUAGCCAGAUAACUUGCCUCAAUAUUCUGAACUAAUAAAUAACUAAGCUUGAAUUGGGCUAUGGUCUAAUUAACUCAACCUUAGUUUAUUUUUCUAAAUGAUUCAGAAAAUCAACAGUUAUUUCUGGUUGUUAAUCAAAGUAAGCUGGCUAACUCAUUGGUUCUGCUUUGGAGUAUACCCCUCAGAGGUCCUGAAAGAUGUGCCUGCAGGAGGUGUAAGUAAUGCCUGCAAAACACUUCUCAUACAUUGGAUUUGUAUACAUUUUAUACACUGCAACUUCAAGUUUCAAAUGUAGUCUACAAACUGGUCCCUUUAUGCGGUCUUGGCUCGUCUGAAAUUCUCUGUUUGACUCUGGGAUUGCGGUCAGUCUUCCUCUUCGGUGUAAACCCUUGGUUCUUGGCCAUUAGCGGAAAGGAUCGAGCAGCAUGUACAAAUUAGACAAAAGGUUUAAACCGGGAAGGGAAUACUCGAACAUAUAAAGUACUAGAAUAAUCUGAUGACGGUCAUGAUUUGAAGUACUGGGUGAAAAUGGUUUCUUAAUAUUGUGCUUUGUACAAUGAGUAUGGAAACAAGAGACAUGGUAAAAAGUUAAUAUUGUACAUGAAGGCUAAGCUGUACAAUAAAUAAUUACUGCUGUA